rnacentral:rRNA from 1 species
AACGAACGUUGGCGGCGUGCUUAACACAUGCAAGUCGAACGCGAACGGUUUCUUCGGAGACCUAGUAGAGUGGCGCACGGGUGAGUAACACGUGGAUAACCUGCCCUAGAGUCUGGGAUAACACUUCGAAAGGGGUGCUAAUACCGGAUAAGCCCACGCCUUCUUCGGAAGAAGUGGGAAAAGAUUUAUUGCUCUAGGAUGGGUCCGCGGUCCAUUAGCUAGUUGGUGGGGUAAUGGCCUACCAAGGCUGCGAUGGAUAGCUGGUCUGAGAGGAUGAUCAGCCACACUGGAACUGAGACACGGUCCAGACUCCUACGGGUGGCAG